AGUGAACGCUGGCGGUAGGCCUAACACAUGCAAGUCGAACGGCAGCACAGUAAGAGCUUGCUCUUACGGGUGGCGAGUGGCGGACGGGGGGGAUGUCUGCGGAACUUCCUUUUUCGGGGGGGGAAAUGCUGGGAAAGGUAGCCAAAACCCCCUAACGUCCCAAGGGUGAAAACCGGGGCCUUUCGGCCCUUGGCCGUCUGAAUUGCCCAAAGUGGGAUUAGCUAGUUGGCGGGGUAAAGGCCCACCAAGGCGACGAUCCGUAGCUGGUCUGAGAGGAUGAUCAGCCACACUGGAACUGAGACACGGUCCAGACUCCUACGGGAGGCAGCAGUGGGGAAUAUUGGACAAUGGGCGCAAGCCUGAUCCAGCCAUACCGCGUGUGUGAAGAAGGCCUUCGGGUUGUAAAGCCCUUUUGUUGGGAAAGAAAAGCAGCAGGUUAAUACCCCGCUGUUCUGACGGUACCCAAAGAAGAAGCACCGGCUAACUUCGUG
rnacentral:rRNA from 1 species